rnacentral:lncRNA from 1 species
AAGUUUUUAAUCCUUCUCCAUGGCCUCCCGUUGCUCACCAGCUCUCCUGAUGGCUAACAAACCAGCUAGUGGGAUUUAUGCUAAGCCGUCGCCCACACAACGGUCGAGUGGUUGCACGAUAGUGGGUUAGGCAAGAUGGCACAUCAACUCGAUCCUUAACUGUGAUAAGAUGGAUAUCUCCCAACCUUGCUCAACCACAAAGGUACAAGCCCAACUGAUUGGCAUUUCACACAAGAAACACCCAUCCAUCUCAUCUAAGCAUUUCCUUCCUUUAUUUC